AUAUUUCUUUAAUACAACAUGAAGAAAUGAAAUUAGAAGAUAGCAGUAAAUCCAUUCUUGCAGAUGAAGAAAAAGAAAAAGUUAUCUCUGAAAGAAAGAUUUCUGAAAGAAGUGAUAUAACAGAAUUCAAAGAUAUUCAAGAACCUAGUCAUACUGAAGAAAUAUCAAUAAGUGAAACUUCUAUUGAAGAAAAAAUUCCUAUUAUUGAAAGUGAUAUUUCUUUAAUACAACAUGAAGAAAUGAAAUUAGAAGAUAGCAGUAAAUCCAUUCUUGCAGAUGAAGAAAAAGAAAAAGUUAUCUCUGAAAG
rnacentral:lncRNA from 1 species